rnacentral:rRNA from 1 species
GACGAACGCUGGCGGCGUGCUUAACACAUGCAAGUCGAACGGGAUCCAAAGGCUUUUUGUUUUUGGUGAGAGUGGCGAACGGGUGAGUAACACGUGAGUAACCUGCCCCCUUCUUUUGGAUAACCGCAUGAAAGUGUGGCUAAUACAGGAUAUUCCAGGCUGGUCGCAUGAUUGGUUUGGGAAAUGGUUUGGUCUGGUGGGGGAUGGGCUCGCGGCCUAUCAGCUUGUUGGUGGGGUGAUGGCCUACCAAGGCGGUGACGGGUAGCCGGCCUGAGAGGGUGGGCGGUCACAGUGGGACUGAGAUACGGCCCAGACUCCUACGGGAGGCAGCAGUGGGGGAUUUUGCACAAUGGGCGCAAGCCUGAUGCAGCGACGCCGCGUGAGGGAUGAAGGCCUUCGGGUUGUAAACCUCUUUAGCUGGGUUGAAAGGCCAUGCUUUGGGUGUGGUUGACUGGAACUGGUAAAGAAGUACCGGCUAACUACGUG